UAAUACAGAGGGUGCAAGCGUUAAUCGGAAUUACUGGGCGUAAAGCGUGCGUAGUCGGUUAUCUAAGUCGGAUGUGAAAUCCCCGGGCUCAACCUGGGAAUUGCAUUCGAAACUGAAUAGCUAGAGUUCGGCAGAGGGAAGUGGAAUUUCCGGUGUAGCGGUGAAAUGCGUAGAUAUCGGAAGGAACAUCAGUGGCGAAAGCGACUUCCUGGACCAGAACUGACGAUCAGGCACGAAAGCGUGGGGAGCAAACAGGAUUAGAUACCCUGGUAGUCCACGCCAUAAACGAUGACAACUAGACGUUGGGAGGGUAAGCCUCACAGUGUCGCAGCUAACGCGUUAAGUUGUCCGCCUGGGGAGUACGGCCGCAAGGUUG
rnacentral:rRNA from 1 species